GACGAACGCUGGCGGCGUGCCUAAUACAUGCAAGUAGAACGCUGAAGAGAGGAGCUUGCUCUUCUUGGAUGAGUUGCGAACGGGUGAGUAACGCGUAGGUAACCUGCCUUGUAGCGGGGGAUAACUAUUGGAAACGAUAGCUAAUACCGCAUAACAAUGGAUGACACAUGUCAUUUAUUUGAAAGGGGCAAUUGCUCCACUACAAGAUGGACCUGCGUUGUAUUAGCUAGUAGGUGAGGUAAUGGCUCACCUAGGCGACGAUACAUAGCCGACCUGAGAGGGUGCUCGGCCCCACUGGGACUGGGACACGGCCCAGACUCCUACGGGAGGCAGCAGUAGGGAAUCUUCGGCAAUGGGGGCAACCCUGACCGAGCAACGCCGCGUGAGUGAAGAAGGUUUUCGGAUCGUAAAGCUCUGUUGUAAGUCAAGAACGGGUGUGAGAGUGGAAAGUUCACACUGUGACGGUAGCUUACCAGAAAGGGACGGCUAACUACGUG
rnacentral:rRNA from 1 species